rnacentral:rRNA from 1 species
AUUGAACGCUGGCGGCAGGCCUAACACAUGCAAGUCGAGCGGAUGAAGGGAGCUUGCUCCUGGAUUCAGCGGCGGACGGGUGAGUAAUGCCUAGGAAUCUGCCUGGUAGUGGGGGAUAACGUCCGGAAACGGGCGCUAAUACCGCAUACGUCCUGAGGGAGAAAGUGGGGGAUCUUCGGACCUCACGCCAUCAGAUGAGCCUAGGUCGGAUUAGCUAGUUGGUGGGGUAAAGGCCUACCAAGGCGACGAUCCGUAACUGGUCUGAGAGGAUGAUCAGUCACACUGGAACUGAGACACGGUCCAGACUCCUACGGGAGGCAGCAGUGGGGAAUAUUGGACAAUGGGCGAAAGCCUGAUCCAGCCAUGCCGCGUGUGUGAAGAAGGUCUUCGGAUUGUAAAGCACUUUAAGUUGGGAGGAGGGGCAGUAAGUUAAUACCUUGCUGUUUUGACGUUACCAACAGAAUAAGCACCGGCUAACUUCGUG